GGGGCUGUGGUGAAGUGGGAUCACGGCAGAAUGGCAUUCUGUUAUCACGGGUUCGAAUCCCGUCAGCUCCACCA
rnacentral:tRNA from 1 species